CCGGGCGACCGGCGCACGGGUGAGUAACACGUAUGCAACCUGCCCUCUUCAGGGGGACAACCUUCCGAAAGGGAGGCUAAUCCCGCGUAUAUCGGUUUCGGGCAUCCGAGAUCGAGGAAAGAUUCAUCGGAAGAGGAUGGGCAUGCGGCGCAUUAGCUAGACGGCGGGGUAACGGCCCACCGUGGCGACGAUGCGUAGGGGUUCUGAGAGGAAGGUCCCCCACACUGGUACUGAGACACGGACCAGACUCCUACGGAAGGCAGCAG
rnacentral:rRNA from 1 species